CCUACGGGUGGCAGCAGUGGGGAAUAUUGGACAAUGGGCGAAAGCCUGAUCCAGCCAUGCCGCGUGUGUGAAGAAGGCCUUCGGGUUGUAAAGCACUUUCAGUGGGGAAGAAAGCCUUGGGGCUAAUACCCUCGAGGAAGGACAUCACCCACAGAAGAAGCACCGGCUAACUCCGUGCCAGCAGCCGCGGUAAUACGGAGGGUGCGAGCGUUAAUCGGAAUUACUGGGCGUAAAGCGCGCGUAGGCGGUCUGAUAAGCCGGUUGUGAAAGCCCCGGGCUCAACCUGGGAACGGCAUCCGGAACUGUCAGGCUAGAGUGCAGGAGAGGAAGAUAGAAUUCCCGGUGUAGCGGUGAAAUGCGUAGAGAUCGGGAGGAAUACCAGUGGCGAAGGCGGCCUUCUGGACUUACACUGACGCUGAGGUGCGAAAGCGUGGGUAGCAAACAGGAUUAGAUACCCUGGUAGUC
rnacentral:rRNA from 1 species